AGUGAACGCUGGCGGUAGGCCUAACACAUGCAAGUCGAACGGCAGCACAGUAAGAGCUUGCUCUUACGGGUGGCGAGUGGCGGACGGGUGAGGAAUACAUCGGAAUCUACUUUUUCGUGGGGGAUAACGUAGGGAAACUUACGCUAAUACCGCAUACGACCUACGGGUGAAAGCAGGGGAUCUUCGGACCUUGCGCGAUUGAAUGAGCCGAUGUCGGAUUAGCUAGUUGGCGGGGUAAAGGCCCACCAAGGCGACGAUCCGUAGCUGGCCUGAGAGGAUGAUCAGCCACACUGGAACUGAGACACGGUCCAGACUCCUACGGGAGGCAGCAGUGGGGAAUAUUGGACAAUGGGCGCAAGCCUGAUCCAGCCAUACCGCGUGGGUGAAGAAGGCCUUCGGGUUGUAAAGCCCUUUUGUUGGGAAAGAAAAGCAGCAGGUUAAUACCCCGCUGUUCUGACGGUACCCAAAGAAUAAGCACCGGCUAACCUCGUG
rnacentral:rRNA from 1 species